rnacentral:rRNA from 1 species
UGAGGAAUAUUGGUCAAUGGGGGCAACCCUGAACCAGCCAAGUCGCGUGAAGGAUGAAGGUCUUAUGGAUUGUAAACUUCUUUUAUACAGGAAUAAAUUGGGGGACGUGUCCCCUUUUGCAUGUACUGUAUGAAUAAGGAUCGGCUAACUCCGUGCCAGCAGCCGCGGUAAUACGGAGGAUCCGAGCGUUAUCCGGAUUUAUUGGGUUUAAAGGGUGCGCAGGCGGGAUGUUAAGUCGGCGGUGAAAUU